rfam:Tolypothrix campylonemoides VB511288 scaffold_0, whole genome shotgun sequence.
GUUAAGUGCCAACCCCAUGCCUAAAGGCAAGGGGCUUGGUGGUUGACUCCACCUGACCAGACUAUUCGUUUAGGGCAAGAGUUAAAGACCUACUCCGGGAUGCUUGCUAGUCCCGCGACCCUAGAACCGAACGAUUAAACAGGUUUACAGAGAAUAAGCCAGUGUCGUUUGGAUAGUACCGACCCUAAACAUUGUCGAAGCAAACUUUAC